rnacentral:rRNA from 1 species
UACGUAGGGGGCGAGCGUUGUCCGGAAUUACUGGGCGUAAAGAGCGCGUAGGCGGUUGGGCGCAUCCCGUGUGAAAGCCCCCGGCUCAACCGGGGGAGGACAAGGGUGAUGGCCCGACUAGAGGAUGGUAGAGGCAGAUGGAAGUCCCGAAGGAGUGGUGAAAUGCGUAGAGAUCGGGAGGAACACCAGUGGCGAAGGCGGUCUGCUGGGCCAUUACUGACGCUGAGGCGCGAAAGCUAGGGGAGCGAACGG